CAACCCUCAAGCCCCAGUGGCUUGUUGUUGGGGACCGGCGACCUCGCCUGCACCUGGUGCAAGCGUCCGCCGCCCCCGAAAUGAAUUGGCGGCCUCGUCGCGUCCUCCUCUGCGUAGUAGCACAACCUCGCAACAGGAUCGCGACGCGGCCACUGCCGUAAAACGCCCAACUUUUUUAG
rnacentral:misc_RNA from 1 species